UUGUAUCAUGCGUGAGGGAUUGUAGUGGUUACCCCUCAGCCUGACGAAGGAAGUGCGAGGAGUAAAAACGAAAAGCCCGACCUGAA
rnacentral:misc_RNA from 1 species